rnacentral:lncRNA from 1 species
AAACAUCAAACUAGACUUUUAUUUAAAAAACAUACGAAAUCCAAAAAAUAAAAACACAGCCCAGCACAACUGCUAGCCUAGACCACAAAAAAAAACAACCAAAUCAUAUAAAGUAAUAAUAACAAGCCUAGUCUAGUCAGAUAUGAAUUGUCCCCCACUCUUGGUUCUCGAUUCUUCAUUUCCCUUGUUGUCGAUUCCAGUUCCAAAAUAAGCAUAGCCUCCUCCCUUUUGAAACUUUUCAUCGUCGCUGUCCUCUUCAUCGAUUCAAGACCUAUUCAAGAAAUCCUUCUAGUCUGGCUUGACCCUUUGUCUUCCAGUCCUCAUCCAACGCACAACAUAUUCAAGCACAAUCCCCACUAGGUAAACCUCAUCCCCUCUUUUUAAACUUUCAGUUACUAUUGUAUGAGCUACCAAAUCGUCAUUCUUAGGAUAUGUCUGAACCAAAUACCUUGAAAAUUCCAUUUGUUCUGCUGAAUGUCUCUAAUAUACGCCCAUAUUACUGAUUUAUACGGGUCUUUCAACUGACAUGUCUUUAUUAUUGUUAAUACGUCGCCCUCGAUUACCACUAUCGCCAAUCCCAUGUUCACCCCCAAUUGCACCGCCUGAGAACAUGCAAGAGCCUCAGCUACAAACGAAGACGCUACAUCCUUAUGAAGGACCAAUUUCGAGGCCAGAACCUCUCCUCUAUCAUUUCUGACUACCAUUCCCAAUCCCAAUCUAAACUUUUGGGGGUCCUAAGCUGCAUCAAAAUUAAUCUUGAUGGUUGUAUUGUUUGGAGGACUCCAUUCAGUGGCUAAAUAUCCCUUUGUAAGUGUCAUUUUUCCUAAACCAUCUAAUUCUCUAAUAUAUCUGAAAAUCAGCUCAGUUAUCCCUCGUCCAAAAUUUAGUUUUCCCUCAGGCAUAUGUUUAUUCAUUUUUGUCCAGGUUACCCAUAUUGCACAGCAAAACAAGCGACAUUGGUUGAUUGAACACCUCCUGAAAGCCCAGGUAAGCUAUUCCCUACUGUCUAAAUUAGGCAUUGAUACAAGCCAUGCAAGAUUUAAAAUUUCUCAUACUUCCAAUGAUAUAGGGCACUCAUGGAACACAUGAUCAAGACUCUCCACAUCCCUCCCACAUAUGGGACACGGUGUAUUCACCACUAGUCUUUUAUAAUUUAGAUUAGUUAGAGUAGGCAAAAAGUUCCAUGAAAUUUUUCAGACUAAUUUUUUGUAUUGCAGAUAGAUUUAGACUCCAAAGUUUCCUGUAAAAAGUUUUGGAAUCAUUCUAAAAACCAAUAGCAUUAGGAUCUGUAUUACCUACUAAUAGUAGUUUAUAUCCACUUCGAUAGGGGUGUAUAAAUUUCGGGUAAAAUCGAAUUAAUUUCAUUAACCAACCAAAUUCGAUUAAUUGGUCGGUUGACCGAAUUAAUUCGAUCGGGGGCCAGUUAAUAAUUUUUUGGAAGUUCGGUUAACUGUUAAUUAAGUUAGAAAUCGGUUAAUUAACCGAAAGUUUUUAUUUUUAUACAUAUUUUACAUAUAUUAAAUUUAGUUAAUUUCAUUAAUUCAGUUAAUUUUUUAUAUGUUUUAUACUUGUUUUAACAAAAAAAAAUAUAAAUUUUGGCUAAUCGACCGAAUUAACCAAAAAAGUUCUAUUCAAUUAAUUUUUUUGAAAAAAAAUUGGUUCGGUUAAUGGUUAAAUGUUUUAAAGAGUUGGUUAAUUCGGUUAAUGAUAGUUCUGGUUGAUUAAUCGAUUGAACACGCCUACACUUCGCACCGAGAAUUCCCCAAAAUGCUCUCCUUUCCACAAUAGCAUAUCAUCAUGCCCCUCCUUAGCUAAUAGGAUUCGAAGAAUUCUAGUCGCAUCAAUGUCCGCAAAGGUAUCGUUAAUGACAUCUAUUUUUCAUACUCUAGAAGUAUUAUUUAUUAGAUCCGAGAUUAUUAUUAUAUCAACAUUAUUGAUAUUGCUACUAACUUUGUAGUUUUCUACCUUUGGCAACCACCCAUCCUCAACAACUGAAAUUCUAUCACUAGUACCAACCCUCCAAUAUAGUCCAUUUUGUAAAAAGGCCCCUCGUUGCCCACACGCUCUGCUAGGUAUAAGAAGGUAGAUUCCCUAAUCUAGCUUUUAAAAAAUCACAGUGCAACUAAUAUUUUGCUUUUAAAACACGAGAUAACAAAGAAUUUGGAUAGGUAUUAAGAUGACAUCCUUGUUUAGCUAACAAAGCCAAAUUGAAUUUAGUUAAACUUCUAAAACCCAAACCACCACUCUCUUUUAACUCGCACAACUAGUUCCACUCACACCAAUGUAUACCCCCUCCUACCAUGUCCUUUUUGCCACCAAAACCUUGCCAUUAUGCUUUCUAACUCUCCACAGAGUGACUUAAGAAGUAAAAAGCAUGUCAUAAAAUACGUCGGGAUAGCUUCUAAGACAUCUUUAAUGAAAACCUCAUUCCCUCAUUGAGACAAAAAUCUUGCACUCCAACUAUAUUUUUUUUCUUGAACCGGUCUUCUUUCACCUCCCCAUUAUAUUUGGUAGCCCCAAGUACCUCUCUUGAUAAUUCGAAUACCUAACCUCCAGAAUUAUCGAAACCAAUUGCCUAUCUCCUUUAUAAGUAUUUGAACUAUAUAAACAGUGGACUUCUUAUAGUUAAUGCAUUGUCACGAACACACCUCGUAUUCCCUUAAAAUCUAUUUUAGUGUCUAAGCCCUCUUAUUGUCUGCUUCUCCAAAUAGCACACAAUCAUCUACAAACAAAAAAUGUGAUAUCUCUCCACCCUAUUAGAGUAUGAUCGAUAUCUCUUAUCUCACUUGUCGAGAAUAGGUUUUGAAAAUAAAUUCAAGCGAUCUUUUCCAUUUCUUCCUCAUCCAUCGCCACCCUCCAAUCCUCGUAUUAUAAACAUCAAAUUUUAUUCAUUCUUCUGUGUUGGGAAACAUAGUUAUGGAAAAAAAGUAGUGUUUUUGUCUCCCCAAUCUCAACCAAUUCGCUCUUGCUCUUUUCUCCCAAUAUAUCUCAUCCUUAUCAAUCUCUAAAUUAAGUUGGAUUUUAGUGUCAAUAAGUUCCAAAACAUUAUUAUUAUCUCUUCCCUUAUCCAUAAAAUUUUCUUGUUUUCUAGUCAAGUCCCUUAAGGCCCUCCCUUUUGCUUCUAACAGAUCCCACCCAUUUUCCUAAAUCCUUCCUUAGACAUUCCAACUUAGUAUAUAUAUCACCUGUAGUUGAAUCCUAGAUCAAUUUCACCUCCCAUUCAAAAGACUCUUCCAUUACCCACUAUGCCUCGAAUCGGAACCUUUUCAACCUCAACCUAUGACCAUCUUGCUCUGCAUAAAUGGGAAGAGGACAUUGAUCAGAAAAAGAGUGUCGUAGAUGAUGAAUCACUGUACUUGGAAGUGGGGGAUGUCAUGACAUCAACCUUGAUUUUUUGAAAAUUUGCAAUCUCAUCCUUGUUGAAUCUUGAGUCGACUUUAGGGCUUACGAAAGCUCGAGAAAAGUUUUAAAUUGUACUGGUUGAUGUAAAUGAUUGAAAUUAAUGAUUUUUUUUACUUGAGUUAUCUGUUAAAUAUUUGUAACUAUUCUAGUUUAUACCAUAGCAUUCUAUAGCUCAAUCUUAUCAAUUGGGAUGAGUAAGGGGUGUUACACAAGGUUUAAGGUUCAGGAUUAUGACAUUAAAUAAUAAAAAAUGAAUAUGGGAUUACGUAACGCCCUUGUUUCAUACAAUUCAUUCUCUAUAUGAUCAUGCUAUAUGAACAAAAUCAUUGUCCAUAAUGGUGUAGAAAAUUAAUUUUAUUAAUGUGUAUUUUUGCAUUGACCAAUUUAAUAUUCCC